GGAAGGAUCAUUACCGAAUGUCGACACGAGUUGUUGCUGGUCCUCAAAUGGGGGCAUGUGCACGCUCUGUUUACACAUCCACUCACACCUGUGCACCCUCCGUAGUUCUAUGGCCUUGAGGACCUCUGUCCUCUUUGCCCACGGUUCUACGUCUUUACACAUACACCGUAACAAAGUCUCAUGGAAUGUAUGCAGCGUUUAACGCAAUACAAUACAACUUUCAGCAACGGAUCUCUUGGCUCUCGCAUCGAUGAAGAACGCAGCGAAAUGCGAUAAGUAAUGUGAAUUGCAGAAUUCAGUGAAUCAUCGAAUCUUUGAACGCACCUUGCGCCCUUUGGCUAUUCCGAAGGGCAUGCCUGUUUGAGUAUCAUGAACACCUCAACUCCUCGUGGUUUGCCACGAUGGGCUUGGACUUUGGGGGCUUUGCCGGCUACUGUUGUCGGCUCCUCUCAAACAAAUCAGCUUGCCAGUGUUUGGUGGCGUCACAGGUGUGAUAACUAUCUACGCUUGUGGUCUCCCCACCAGGUAACCUUCAGCAAUGGAGGUUCACUGUGGCUCAUAAAUGUCUCUCCUCUGUGAAAGACGGCUUUUUUAACGUUUGAUCUCAAAUCAGGUAGGACUACCCGCUGAACUUAAGCAUAUCAAUAAGCGGAGGAAAAGAAACUAACAAGGAUUCCCCUAGUAACUGCGAGUGAAGCGGGAAGAGCUCAAAUUUAAAAUCUGGCGUGCCUCUGGUCGUCCGAGUUGUAGUCUGGAGAAGCGUUUUCUGUGUUGGACCGUGUACAAGUCUCUUGGAACAGGGCGUCAUAGAGGGUGAGAAUCCCGUCUUUGACACGGACUACCAAUGCUUUGUGAUGCGCUCUCAAAGAGUCGAGUUGUUUGGGAAUGCAGCUCAAAAU
rnacentral:rRNA from 1 species